rnacentral:misc_RNA from 1 species
UACCACUUUGGCUGUGAGUUCUAUUUCCCUUCUUCCUUCUAUGUAUUUUGAUUGCUAAAUGUGUGUAUUUUUGUUGUUUCAUCUUAUCAUGACAUAUUAAAUCUUAUUUGCAAUUAGAAUGAGGAGUACAAUGAUUCAAAAUAGGGUUUUAUUGUUUGCACAUAGUAAGGCAUUUUGAAACUGCGUUUUGGAAUUUGAUUUGUAUAUUUGUCUAUGCUCACCACUGUAAGAUUUCCUUGGCCUAGUUGAAUAAAACAUGGAGUAGUUUAGCGUGGCUGAA